AGGACGAACGCUAGCGGCGUGCUUAACACAUGCAAGUCGAACGGAAAGGCCCUUCGGGGUACUCGAGUGGCGAACGGGUGAGUAACACGUGAGCAAUCUGCCCCUAGCUCUGGGAUAGCUCCGGGAAACCGGGAUUAAUACCAGAUAUUACUACGGCCGACAUCAGCUGUGGUGGAAAGAAUUUCGGCUAGGGAUGAGCUCGCGGCCUAUCAGCUUGUUGGUGGGGUAAAGGCCCACCAAGGCGACGACGGGUAGCCGGCCUGAGAGGGCGACCGGCCACACUGGGACUGAGACACGGCCCAGACUCCUACGGGAGGCAGCAGUGGGGAAUAUUGCGCAAUGGGCGAAAGCCUGACGCAGCGACGCCGCGUGCGGGAUGAAGGCCUUCGGGUUGUAAACCGCUUUCAGCAGGGACGAAGCGAAAGUGACGGUACCUGCAGAAGAAGCGCCGGCUAACUACGCGCCAGCAGCCGC
rnacentral:rRNA from 1 species